UGAAAUUAUUUACCUACUUGAUAGUUUCAAGAUAUAUACAUUUAUACUUUAAAUUGUAAAAGUACAUUAAACAAAUAGUUUGCAUUUUUCUUUGUUUCUAAAAUGCUUCAUUAAACAAGUCAGAUAUAUCAAAAUGAACCGACUUAAUACAUGCGCAUGUGUUUAACAUAAAGUAAUAUUUCAAUGCCCACUGUAGGGUGCUAUAUAGCAGUCGCACUGUCCGUCAGGCAUUCAAUUUUCUGGAACCUUUUUUACACAACGCUUUCAGAUAUUGAGCUGAUGUUUGGUGUGUGAGUCUUCUUACAUGACUUACAGAUGAAGUGUUAAUUUUGUUACGGUCCAUUGAUUUUGGGCAAAGUUAUGGGCAGAUAUUUAGCUGAUUUUUGGUAUGUGAGUCAACCUACAUUACUUACAAACAAAGUGUUAGUUUCGUUUAGGCCCAUUGAUGUUCAGCAAAGUUAUGGGUCUUGGACUUAAUAAAUUUCCCUAAAAUACAUGUAGCUGCUAUGCUUCUUCAAAGCUCAGUAGGGAGCAUUGUGUUUGAUCAACUUAGGUCUUGCUGGUCAUGAAACAGCUCUAUUAUUGGUCCAAAAGUGUGAUUAUCGAAAUGUGCCCCGCCAGGGAGUGGGCGGUUAUAUUAGCAAAAGUCCCGGGGAACAUUCACACUCCGCUUGUGAUGCCAUACAACAGAAAAAAACUGCAAACAGUUUAUAUGAAAACCGUUAAUUAAUUUCAAUUUCCAAAUUGGCCUUUCUAAGGGUUUCUUUUUUUCUAUAAAGUUAAAACUUAAAAAUCUUCUUCUGUGAAACAACAAUUAAGGCUUAGAGGUUGAUUUGUCAUGUAACAUUUUCUAAGUGGCCCUCAGUUAAGUUUGUUUAAAGUAUGAAAUUAUUUGAAAGUUAUAUAGACUUAUUGUUAAUAACUUCACAUUCUUCUUCUCUGAAAACCCAAGGGUCAAGGUCUAAAGAUUUGGUGGGUAAUAUUAUAUAGUUGUAUCCUUCUAAGUUUGUUCAAAUCAUAUCCCUGGGGUCCCAUGAUUUAUUUAGACUUUACUUACAUUGUCUCAGACGAUAUCAAAUCUGUAACUCACAGAUUAAACAACUUUUAUUGAAACAACAAUUUUAGCACAACCAUCACAGAAUGAACACAUAACUGUUCAGUUUGUAUGUGUCUCAUGUGAGCGAACUAGGACCUCAUGAAUCAUUGACAUAAAAAAUAAAAAAAGCUUUAAAGUAUUUUCAUUAGAAAGAAAUGCUGCUCGAUUUCAACCACGUAUGGCGAAUUUCAACAUUGACACCCGGGAUGCGCAUUUUGGCAACAGUUCUGCAAUGAAGGGUCUAGAUUUCAGCGAUUGCCCAAGCGAUCUUAGAAUUGCAGGAAUGUCAAAAGUGAAUUGUGUGAUAGCUGAUCUUGGUGACGGUGUUUGAAAGAUGAAAAUAUACGGAAAACAGACGAUUUUACACCUAUUUCCAUACACAACGUUAGCCAUCAUUGACAGACCCCCUGCCCAUCAGGCCCAUCCUAACUAGUGUCUGAAAAUGUACCACUACCAGUUGAUGAAGUGUAAGAAGAUGUCAGAUAGCAACUGCCUUGAACUGGAAAUAACACACAAACAUUGUCAGGGCCUGACAGUGGUGCAGAUAUAUUAAGCUUUUAUUUAUACCCUGAUAAAUACAGUUCCUGUACGAGAUGUUUGAUCAAAGACGAAAUGGCAGAAUUAGGCAAAUAUCUGUGCUUCUGCAACAACUGUGCAGGGUUUAGACAUGUAUAAACAUACUUCGCAAGCGUCUCACUCACAACUGCAGAAGAACCUGGCAAUGAAAUUCAUAGACUUGCUUACAUAUAAAGUUCAUCAAUUACGUUGUAUAUGUUAUUGUAAAACAUGCAAAUAACACAGCAAAGCAGUUAGAGGCAAAUCAAACAAUUUUUUUACCAAAACAACCAAUUAAAGGAACUGAUUUCCCCACCCCUCAAACAAGCAAUGACACAGAAACUAGUCUGUCAGCUAAAUUUCAGUCCGUCCCAAUUAAUCAAUGAACCCUUUCUCCCACAGAAGCAAAGUGAAAAUGGCUUUUGCAAACAGCAUGAAACCAGAACAGCCUGUGAGUUACUCGCAGUCUGUUCAGGUUUUAUGCCGUUUGCUGCUCAUCAGUGUAUAUGGGUUGGAAAUGAAGCCUUUAUAAGUUUAAUCUAGGAAGAAAGGUCUUUAAUCAAAUUUAACUCUCUAAGGUACUACAAAUUCGUCAAAAUACAUUUUCUUAGUGAUAAAAGGUUAAUAAAGUACAGAAAAAGCCAUACAGUAGACUUUUGAAUACCUCCACAGAUUUGUGUAUGAAAGGGACUAAGCUCGAAAUAAAUUAAUUGUUGAAAGUCUGUUGUAAAUGGCUGACACACAAUAAUUGUUUUUUGUCAAACAAUUAAAUAAAGGAUGUGAAAAUGCAAAAUGAAUUUAUUUGCAGAAGGAUUUACAUAAAAGAUGUUUGGUUAUAUGUCAAUGUUAAUAAUGUUUUCAUGAUUAUAAGGGCUUUACCAACCAAUAUUUCUUGAUUUAAUUUUAUACAUUUAGCAUAAUUAAACACUGUACCUAAAUAGUUUAAGUUAUCAACAACUUCAAUAUAAUUACUUCUCUUUUUUUACAGUGUUAACAUUUAGCCCCCAAUAAUUGCUGUAUACAUGUAAUUGUGAUUGAAUGCCAGCAGGUGACUGCUAGAAUAGCAUUAUAAUACAAUAUCAUUAGCAAAUAAUUGUGUAAUCAACUCAAUAUCAUCUAUUUUCAAACCAGAGUUGAUGUUUUCUUGUUUGUAAAGUUUAAGGUCUGCAAAAAAUAAAGAGAACAAAAUCGGCAACAUA